GGUAUUGCAACUGGAACUGGAUGUGGCCUUGGCUCCAUAAUUAUUGCAGUCUUUGUAGUUGUAUUCACCAACAAGUGGAAGAAAGGCAUCCAAAAGAGAAUCCGACGAACACACUUCAAGAAAAAUCAAGGUCUACUCCUGGAGCAGCUCAUCUCAGAUGACAGCGCCACAAACAAAACAAAAAUAUUCUCCUUGGAGGAGCUAGAGAAGGCAACCAACAACUUCGAUGCCACUCGUGUUCUUGGUCGUGGAGGACACGGUACGGUUUAUAAAGGGAUUCUAUCUGACCAACGAGUGGUGGCUAUUAAAAAGUCCAAAAUUGUGGAGCAAACUGAGAUAAACCAGUUUAUCAAUGAGGUUGCUAUCUUGUCUCAAAUCAUUCAUCGUAAUGUGGUAAAGCUAUUCGGUUGUUGCCUCGAAUCUGAGGUGCCAUUGCUCGUGUAUGAGUUCAUAUCAAAUGGUACACUGCAUGACCUUCUUCACGUUGAUGUUGGUGUUAAAUGCUUGCUGUAA
rnacentral:rRNA from 1 species